AAUUAAUUACCCACGGUCUUAUUUGUUAUCCUACUAAAUUUAAAACAAAUAUGUUGUAUAUUAAUAUUAACGAAAUUUUUCUAAAAUGAUUAUAUUGAGAACUGUAUAUAAAAUUUCGAAAACGAAUAAUGCGAUAUCAUUAUGUAAAAUCGUGGACCGCAAUUGGUUGGUGGAUUGACGAACGCGCGAACUUCAUCAAGCGGAAGUAAUUGUUCGCGUGUGACUACAAUUGUUCUAUAAUCUGACUACAUGUUUACCCUCUUGGCUUCGCUCUGGAACUCGCUCACCCGUCUUGGUUGAGAGGAAAGCUCCCGUGGCCAGUCGCAAACCUUACAUUCACAAACAAAAAAGUUAUUGUUUGAGGAAAAAAAUAAGACGAGACGAUAUUCAUUUACUUGUUAUCUUAUUUGUUGAAUUUGGGAGAGUGGAUAGGGUAUAUUGAAAAUAUUCCUGAUAUCGAAGAUAGUUGGUAGCGCUUAUUAUUCCUGACGAGACUGCAGAAGAAAAACACGAUCGAAACAUAUGUGAGAUAUUUUCCUUUGCACGCUGUGUAACAUGUACGUAAAUAUUAUUUUCAACUUACCACAGUAAUGGCUUAUUGCCUUUUGCAAAGAAAUAAAUUUUUUAGACAGGUAAAAUUAAAGUCUUGUUUAAAAAUUAAUGAUUAAUUGCAAAUAAACAUUAUGACUGAGAUAA